ACCAUCCACAUCAUUUAUAUGGCCUUAAAUUAGCCCAAACGCAAAGUUCUGACUGUUCCUCUCUCUUUCAACCAGUUGUUAAUCUUCUCGUCGUACUUCAAAUCCAAUGAGAAAUAGGAAUGCUCAGCGGACGGCUUUUUUGAUUGAAUUAUACCCCUCAAGGACCACCAUGGCAGGCCCAUACGCUUUUAAUUCUGAAGAGGGUUGUUCCAGUGUGAGCAUACCAAAUCGAAUGAAUUAAUGGCCUUGCAGCUGGCGGUACCACUCUGGCUGAUACCCUCUCCGUGUUUAGAAAUGCGGCAAUAGACAUCUACAGAAUUUCUCCAACCCCUUGGGGGAGCCCGGAAAAACGUAUGGUCUUUUUUUCUCAGCAGAAAUAGCAAAAAGUGGGUGUUGUGUGUGAACAAGGGAGUUCAGCAAAGAAGAUGAGGUGAGACCUAGUGCUAACUAAAACUCAUUAUUUUCUAAGUAUAGUGCUGCAUUCGGCUUAAUUGAAGCAAAACAUUAUUACAUUUUUCAUCUAGCUUAUGUGUCAUUCAGGUAUUCUCUCACCAUUUCCGUUUCAACAACAUAUUAGUGCCGGAUGAAGUAUACAAAUCAGGUAAAGUAUUUGUAUUUUUAAAACUCAGUUAUGUUUCUUAAUAUGGCAGGAUGUCCUAAACACAUAGAAUACAGCUUUUAUAGGACUACUGUAGGUUUAAGCUCAAUUUAAGUUCGACAUUAGUUUGGUAAUUUACUUUUCGGAUCAGUAAAAUCCUCUGCGUCCGUGAGCUCUGAGCAUCUUAUUAGCCAGCCUGGUCUCAUUGUUUAUACGUAGGUAUUAAUACGUAACAUUUACAAGCACAAAACGUACAUUUUUGUAUGUUUUUAUUGAUGCUAAAACAUACAAUUUAGUACAAUUUUGUACAAAUAGUUACUUAUUUUUAUCUAAAAAACGUAAACUAUUUACGUAUUGUUUAUAUCAUUAAGAUAUUCGUAUCAAUGCAUUUUUAUAAUUUUAUCAAUCAGUGAUUUAAAUUUUUAGACCUCUUAACUUGCCC
ensembl:lncRNA